AUUAAUCUUACAUUGUCACAAAUUAAUCCCCCCCCAAAAAACAACACAAUGUGUUAGUUCUCUGUAGUUUCUUUAAAUUUACCAUCUACCAUUCACAGUUAUUAUAUAUAUUAUAUUAUAUUAUUAUUAUACCAGAACCUGUCCUGUGUUGUUUUGUCUCUUUAGAGGUUUGUGAGAUCAACGAGUCACCAGAAACUGAUGAAGGCGUCUAUGACGUUCCUCUGUCCUACAGGAGAACCCAUCAACAUCACAACCCGACAGAGAGCGUCUAUGACGUGCCGAGCUCCCUGAUGAUGAGGAUGAUUCCUGAUCACACCAGAGAGGAGCAGCAGGACGACGGCGUCUACUGGGCGCUCUGAGGUCUGAGACGCCACUAACAGCCACAUCUGACUCUCCGUACGUUUAACCUUUAGACACAGAAGAGCUGAAGCCUCAUACCUGUCAGAGUGUAAAUAGUGUUUGAAUGCUAGGAGACAACAUGCACGACCACAACAAAUAGGUUGAAGUUGGGGUUUUUAUUUCAGCUCCCUCGACACAAGACCCAUAUCAUCAUUUAUAGCUGUAGAGACACUGCACAGAAAUAUCACUCUGUGGCUCACUCACACUGGUUCACAACAGGACAAUGACUCAUUUACAUGACGCCUACAUGCUUCACAGUUUAAACGUUUACACCACCAACCAUAUUGCUGUGUUACACACUUUGGACUGGUUCAACUGGGAAUGGUUACAGCUUGUGUUUAAAACCCUUUUUAAUGGGUUUAAUGGAAUAUAAAAACAAGUUGCAGGUACACAAUGAAAGGAAAAUAAAACGUUUAGGCAUGCCAACAUUUACUCUGUUAUGUCUCUUCUACUUUAAAGGCAUACUAUGCAGGAAUUGUACUUACUGUUUGUAAACACAACAUUUAAACUUGGCCACGCCUCCUCGGCUCAAACCCAACAUUUACUCUUGUUUUAGAGCAAGCUGUAGCGCUGUCGAAAACAAAUGCAAAAUACACUAAACACAAGCAAACUGAGAAAACAUCUUCCUCAAUUUGACAACACAAGAGCAGCAUUUAGAAAACGCUGCAAAGACCACAACACAACAGAAGUGUUUCCAGAGGACACUUAAAAGUGAUGCACACGUCUGGACACGCUUGAUAUUAUCACGUUAUUUCAAGAUAAUUAUAAUUUCACGUUAUAACUUCAUAACGAUGAUAGCAUGCUAACGUUAACAGCCGAUCAAUAGCAUGUUAACAUUAGCAGGCAAUCAAUAGCAUGCUAACGUUAGCGGCUGAUCUAUAGCAUGUAAAACGUUAGCCGAUGAUCGAUAGCAUGUUAACGUUAGCCAGUAAUCGAUAGCAUGUUAAUGUUAGCCGGCAAUCGAUAGCAUGCUAACGUUAACUGCCGAUUGAUAGGAUGCUAAGAUUAGCCGGCGAUCGCUAGCAUGUUAACAUUAGCCGGCGAUCGCUAGCAUGUUAACAUUAGCCGGCGAUUGCUAGCAUGUUAACAUUAGCCGGCGAUCGAUAGCAUGUUAA